rnacentral:rRNA from 1 species
GACGGAGGAUGCAAGCGUUAUCCGGAAUGAUUGGGCGUAAAGCGUCCGCAGGUGGCUGUUCAAGUCUGCUGUCAAAGACCGGGGCUUAACUUCGGAAAGGCAGUGGAAACUGAACAGCUAGAGUAUGGUAGGGGCAGAGGGAAUUCCUGGUGUAGCGGUGAAAUGCGUAGAGAUCAGGAAGAACAUCGGUGGCGAAGGCGCUCUGCUGGACCAUAACUGACACUCAGGAACGAAAGCUAGGGGAGCGAAUGGG